UACGGAGGGGGCUAGCGUUGUUCGGAAUUACUGGGCGUAAAGCGCACGUAGGCGGAUCAGCAAGUUAGGGGUGAAAUCCCGGGGCUCAACCCCGGAACUGCCUUUAAAACUGUUGGUCUGGAGGUCGAGAGAGGUGAGUGGAAUUCCGAGUGUAGAGGUGAAAUUCGUAGAUAUUCGGAGGAACACCAGUGGCGAAGGCGGCUCACUGGCUCGAUACUGACGCUGAGGUGCGAAA
rnacentral:rRNA from 1 species